rnacentral:ncRNA from 1 species
GAAACCUCAUCUUGCUCAAGCGCCAUCCUGGCGCCAGGGCAGCGUUUUUAUAAAACACGGACAUUCCGUCCGAGUGAGGAGAGAGG